CCAGACAACUAGGAUGUUGGCUUAGAAGCAGCCAUCAUUUAAAGAGUGCGUAAUAGCUCACUAGUCGAGUGACACUGCGCCGAAAAUGUACCGGGGCUAAACAUAUUACCGAAGCUGUGGAUUGUCCUUUGGACAAUGGUAGGAGAGCGUUCUAAGGGCGUUGAAGCAUGAUCGUAAGGACAUGUGGAGCGCUUAGAAGUGAGAAUGCCGGUGUGAGUAGCGAAAGACGGGUGAGAAUCCCGUCCACCGAUUGACUAAGGUUUCCAGAGGAAGGCUCGUCCGCUCUGGGUUAGUCGGGUCCUAAGCUGAGGCCGACAGGCGUAGGCGAUGGAUAACAGGUUGAUAUUCCUGUACCACCUAUAAUCGUUUUAAUCGAUGGGGGGACGCAGUAGGAUAGGCGAAGCGUGCGAUUGGAUUGCACGUCUAAGCAGUAAGGCUGAGUAUUAGGCAAAUCCGGUACUCGUUAAGGCUGAGCUGUGAUGGGGAGAAGACAUUGUGUCUUCGAGUCGUUGAUUUCACACUGCCGAGAAAAGCCUCUAGAUAGAAAAUAGGUGCCCGUACCGCAAACCGACACAGGUAGUCAAGAUGAGAAUUCUAAGGUGAGCGAGCGAACUCUCGUUAAGGAACUCGGCAAAAUGACCCCGUAACUUCGGGAGAAGGGGUGCUCUUUAGGGUUAACGCCCAGAAGAGCCGCAGUGAAUAGGCCCAAGCGACUGUUUAUCAAAAACACAGGUCUCUGCUAAACCGUAAGGUGAUGUAUAGGGGCUGACGCCUGCCCGGUGCUGGAAGGUUAAGAGGAGUGGUUAGCUUCUGCGAAGCUACGAAUCGAAGCCCCAGUAAACGGCGGCCGUAACUAUAACGGUCCUAAGGUAGCGAAAUUCCUUGUCGGGUAAGUUCCGACCCGCACGAAAGGCGUAACGAUUUGGGCACUGUCUCAACGAGAGACUCGGUGAAAUCAUAGUACCUGUGAAGAUGCAGGUUACCCGCGACAGGACGGAAAGACCCCGUGGAGCUUUACUGUAGCCUGAUAUUGAAAUUCGGCACAGCUUGUACAGGAUAGGUAGGAGCCUUUGAAACGUGAGCGCUAGCUUACGUGGAGGCGCUGGUGGGAUACUACCCUAGCUGUGUUGGCUUUCUAACCCGCACCACUUAUCGUGGUGGGAGACAGUGUCAGGCGGGCAGUUUGACUGGGGCGGUCGCCUCCUAAAAGGUAACGGAGGCGCUCAAAGGUUCCCUCAGAAUGGUUGGAAAUCAUUCAUAGAGUGUAAAGGCAUAAGGGAGCUUGACUGCGAGACCUACAAGUCGAGCAGGGUCGAAAGACGGACUUAGUGAUCCGGUGGUUCCGCAUGGAAGGGCCAUCGCUCAACGGAUAAAAGCUACCCCGGGGAUAACAGGCUUAUCUCCCCCAAGAGUUCACAUCGACGGGGAGGUUUGGCACCUCGAUGUCGGCUCAUCGCAUCCUGGGGCUGUAGUCGGUCCCAAGGGUUGGGCUGUUCGCCCAUUAAAGCGGUACGCGAGCUGGGUUCAGAACGUCGUGAGACAGUUCGGUCCCUAUCCGUCGUGGGCGUAGGAAAUUUGAGAGGAGCUGUCCUUAGUACGAGAGGACCGGGAUGGACAUACCUCUGGUGUACCAGUUGUCGUGCCAACGGCAUAGCUGGGUAGCUAUGUGUGGACGGGAUAAGUGCUGAAAGCAUCUAAGCAUGAAGCCCCCCUCAAGAUGAGAUUUCCCAACUUCGGUUAUAAGAUCCCUCAAAGAUGAUGAGGUUAAUAGGUUCGAGGUGGAAGCAUGGUGACAUGUGGAGCUGACGAAUACUAAUCGAUCGAAGACUUAAUCAA
rnacentral:rRNA from 1 species